AGCGAACGCUGGCGGCAGGCCUAACACAUGCAAGUCGAGCGCCCCGCAAGGGGAGCGGCAAACGGGAGAGUAACACGUGGGAACGUACCCUUUGGUUCGGAACAACCCAGGGAAACUUGAGCUAAUACCGGAUAAGCCCUUACGGGGAAAGAUUCAUCGCCGAAGGAUCGGCCCGCGUCUGAUUAGCUAGUUGGUGGGGUAACGGCCCACCAAGGCGACGAUCAGUAGCUGGUCUGAGAGGAUGAUCAGCCUCACUGGGACUGAGACACGGCCCAGACUCCUACGGGAGGCAGCAGUGGGGAAUAUUGGACAAUGGGCGCAAGCCUGAUCCAGCCAUGCCGCGUGGGUGAUGAAGGCCCUAGGGUUGUAAAGCCCUUUCGGCGGGGAAGAUAAUGACGGUACCCGCAGAAGAAGCCCCGACUAACUUCGUGCCAGCCGCCGCAGUAACAC
rnacentral:rRNA from 1 species